rnacentral:rRNA from 1 species
UACGGGAGGCAGCAGUGGGGAAUAUUGCACAAUGGGCGAAAGCCUGAUGCAGCUAUGCCGCGUGUAUGAAGAAGGCCUUAGGGUUGUAAAGUACUUUCAUCGGGGAGGAAAAAACAAAACUAAUAAUUUUAUUUCUUGACGUUACCCGAAAAAGAAGCACCGGCUAACUCCGUGCCAGCAGCCGCGGUAAUACGGAGGGUGCUAGCGUUAAUCAGAAUUACUGGGCGUAAAGAGCACGUAGGUGGUUUUUUUAAGUCAGAUGUGAAAUCCCCUGGGGCUUAACCUAGGAACUGCAUUUUUGAAACUGAAAUACUAGAGUAUCGUAGAGGGAGGUAGAAUUCUAGGUGUAGCGGUGAAAUGCGUAGAUAUCUGGAGGAAUACCUGUGGGGAAAGCGGCCUCCUAAACGAAUACUGACACUGAGGGUGCGAAAGCGUGGGGAGCAAACAGGGAUUAGAUACCCGU